rnacentral:tRNA from 1 species
GGCUCCAUGGUCAAGAGGCUAAGACGCUGCCCUCUCAAGGCAGAAUCGCUGGGUUCAAAUCCCGCUGGAGUCA